rnacentral:tRNA from 1 species
GCCUCCAUAGCUCAGCGAUUAGAGCAAUUCUCUUGUAAAGAAUAGGUCGAGGGUUUGAAUCCCUCUGGAGGCU